ensembl:miRNA
AGAGUGAGUGGCUGUCAUUUUAAUUUACUUUAAAAUGACAGCCACUCACUCUGG